CAACAUCUGCGUCACGUUCUCGGAAGGUGACGUGGAUCUUCAAAUUAUAAUUUUUAGUUUUUCCGCUGAAAAGUUUGAUAAAUGUUAUAUUAUGCAUGCUGAUAAGAAGACGGUGAGAGCCUGAGAUCAAGCCGAGGCGUCCUGCAGCAGAACACAAACAACCAGAAUAGAGCUAAUACGGACUCAUUAUUAAGCUAUUCCUGUGUUGAGAGGGGAGGGGCUCCAGAUGUGAACUUUGAUAUUUUCCUGGCAGGGAAAAACAGACCCACCCUGCCUGUCUUUAACCCCCGAUUGACCUCUCCGGAGCUCGAUCUGUCUGCUGCCGUCAUUCGAACCUUCAUCUGCCAGUCCACCGAAGGCCGGCUCCAACCGUGAGAAGUCAGCGUGGAACCUCCGCCUUACACCACCUCCACCUCCACCGCCCGACACGCAUCCUAAACUAGGGUGUGGUGCUCCCGCUUCCACACACUGGAUCGAUGUGUGCGUGUGCGAUGCUGUCUGGCCAACAUGUGUCGAGGUCUGGCAGAAGGAUUCUCACCAGGGUGUUCCUCCUGGACAGCUGUGAGAAAAUCACAACGCCUGGAGAGAGACCGUGUUUCUGGAAUCCUGGAUCGGGAAGAGGACCGCCGCUCUGACAGCUUCUACCGCUAUCGAGGGUUUGAUUUACAUGGAAACCGGGCUCAAGGACCCUUCGGCAGGGCGGACGCUCGGCCCGUCGGAAGGCGAGGCCGGCUCGGCCCUCGUGAUAGGGUUCCUGCAGACGAGCCGGGUGCUGGGACCGAGCGACUGUGGGAAGUAACCCAGCCGGCGGGUCAGGAGGUCACGCCAGGAGACGCGGCCCCGUGUGAAGGCUGCGCUGUGAGGGCCGUGUGGGUCGGGACACUUCCCGCUGCUGCCAGCCAUUGAAACCGUUUUGAUAUUGCAAGGACGUGGAUGAAAGAGGAGAUAAACAGUGUCCACAUGUUUUAUGAGCUCGCUGUCAUAAUAAAAUAAACUGCAAAGCCC